UCUCUAGUUAAGGCCGCGGGGACCGGGCUGUAGCUCAGUAGAAGGGGCAGAGGCAGGCGCGGAGCCAGCGGGGGCUGUGAGGGGCAGCACAGGGCAGGGCACCUCCGCUGGAGUUGGGGCCAGCCGCCUGCCAGCGGAGCGGAGGGAGCCCAGGUGCGCGGAGCGGGGGCGGGAAUUAGACCACAGCCAGAGGCGGCCAAGCCACCACGCCACUGCAGCCAAGCAGCACCUAGGACAGCGGCGGCCGGUCCCAAGUGCAGAGCGGCAGCGGUACUAUGGAGCAGGAGAAAUAUUUGCCCGAGCUGAUGGCAGAGAAGGACAGCCUGGACCCGUCCUUUGUUCAUGCAAUGCGCCUCCUGGCUGAAGAAAUUGAAAAAUUUCAGGGUUCUGAUGGAAAAAAGGAAGAUGAAGAAAAGAAAUACCUUGAUGUCAUCAGCAACAAAAACAUAAAGCUGUCAGAAAGAGUACUGAUCCCUGUUAAACAGUAUCCCAAGUUCAAUUUUGUUGGAAAAUUGCUUGGACCAAGAGGAAACUCUCUGAAGAGGUUACAGGAGGAGACAGGUGCCAAAAUGUCUAUCCUGGGCAAAGGUUCCAUGAGGGAUAAAGCUAAGGAAGAAGAACUAAGGAAAAGUGGGGAAGCCAAAUAUGCACACUUGAGUGACGAGCUUCAUGUUCUAAUUGAAGUAUUUGCUCCACCUGGGGAAGCUUAUUCACGUAUGAGUCAUGCCUUGGAAGAGAUUAAAAAAUUCCUUGUUCCAGACUACAAUGAUGAAAUCCGUCAGGAGCAAUUGAGAGAAUUGUCGUACUUGAAUGGUUCUGAGGAUUCAACACGUGGACGGGGCAUUCGUGGAAGAGGAAUCCGGGUACAACCUGCAGCUCCAUCAAGAGGACGUGGUGGUGCGAUUCCUCCUCCACUACCUGGGAGAGGUGCCCAAACACCUAGAGGGACACCAGCAACACGUGGAGCACUUCCAGUUCCCCCUGUAGCAAGGGGAGUUCCCACCCCUCGAGCAAGGGGAACUCCAGCAGUCCCAGGUUACAGACCACCCCCUCCUCCAACACAUGAGGCCUAUGAAGAAUAUGGAUAUGAUGAUGGAUAUGGAGGUGAAUAUGAUGAUCCAAGCUAUGAGGCAUAUGAUAGCAGUUAUGCCACCCAAACACAGAGUGUGCCUGAAUAUUAUGAUUAUGGUCAUGGAACAAGUGAAGACGCUUAUGACAGCUAUGCACAAGAAGAAUGGGCCACAACCCGUUCCAGCCUAAAGGCACCACCUCCAAGGUCAGCCCGAGGGGGUUACAGGGAACACCCCUAUGGUAGAUAUUGAAGGUCCUCCUCAUCUGUGACCUCAACUCAAAGACAAUUAAUAGCCUGUGGUCUCCACAUAAACAGCAACAAGACAAGGACUCACAGGCAAUGAACAGCUAAGCAACAGAUGUACUGAGAAGUGUUCAGGUAAGCUGUGCCAUACCUGAUUGUUUUUAAUUGAGUCUUUUUUACUCAGUGGAAAUAAUUGUAAAUGUUUCUUCUGCAUUUCUUUUUAUUAAUAUUUUAAAGUAGAGGCUUAACAAAAAUAAUUCUUUCCAACUAGAUUCACUUAAAUAAAAGGCUGGUGAUGAUAUAAUUUCAAGGAAGGAAUUUGUUGUUGUUUUGUGUGAUACUUUCCUGUAUGAUGAGAGAAUUAUUUGAUUGCUAAAAAAAUGAAUAGCAGCAUAUGGGAUCUCUGCAAAGGGCGUUUCCAUAACCUAGUGUUUUUAAAAUAAACAUGAUACACUUUCUGAUUUAUUCCCUUAAGGACAGGAGCUCGUCUUUAUGAAAAACAAUGUGUACAUUUUGGAAGUAAACAAGUCAUCUGAUCUACUCUGCCUUGUGAAAACACGGUUAAUAAGAUUGUAAAGUCAGAAGAAACAUGAUGACAAGCAAAUCAAAACAUCAUUUUGAAAGGUCAAAAUGGGACAUUACAUCCUUAUUAUCCCAAGAAUACAUGACUGUAGUAUCACAGCACUAUUUUUAAGUGAAAAAAGAUUUUAAUCAAGAGCUGAAAAUGGUACAACUUUUUUUGUGAGAAAGAGUAUAAGAAAACCGACAUUGUACCAAAUAAAUCUCUUUAUAUUAUAAACUUCCAGUUUGCAUCCUUAUUAUAUUCCAGUGACCUAAACUAUAGCACAAGUCCAUACUCAUAUAGUGCAUGUGAUCAGAUUCUAUACCUAUGUACAGUGGAUAUCUUUUAUAAUUAAAUAUUUGCCAUCUGAAAUCACACAGGCCCUUUUUAGUUAACACAUUUCAUCUUUGUUUUACACUGAUUCCUUCCUCAAGGUAUGGAGACAUUUUAGGGCAAAAGGAAUUUACAGGGCACCUAGUAGCUUACUAACAAAUUGAUAAACAUAUGGAACACUCAUGAUAUCAUGUAGCAAAUUUAGAUAUUUCACUUAAGAAGACUCUUCCUCUAAAAGUACAGGUCUGAGAAAACUAAAGCUAAGCUAUGAACAUUUCAAAUGUUACAUUUUUCAACACCUAAACACAUUUUUAGGGUUCUUGUAGCCAAGACUACUUGUAAUUAUGGAGCCAAUUAUGUAAUUAAAAUUAAAGUGGGCAUGUGAAAACCAGUAGUCUUGUUGAUUAGUCAAAAGGUACUAUGCUUAUCCAGUUUC